ACGUAGGGCGCAAGUGUUGUCCGGAAUUAUUGGGCGUAAAGAGCUCGUAGGCGGCUUGUCACGUCGAUUGUGAAAGCCCGAGGCUUAACCUCGGGUCUGCAGUCGAUACGGGCUAGCUAGAGUGUGGUAGGGGAGAUCGGAAUUCCUGGUGUAGCGGUGAAAUGCGCAGAUAUCAGGAGGAACACCGGUGGCGAAGGCGGAUCUCUGGGCCAUUACUGACGCUGAGGAGCGAAAGCGUGGGGAGCGAACAGG
rnacentral:rRNA from 1 species